UACGAAGGGGGCUAGCGUUGUUCGGAUUUACUGGGCGUAAAGCGCACGUAGGCGGAUCGUUAAGUCGGGGGUGAAAUCCUGGAGCUCAACUCCAGAACUGCCUUCGAUACUGGCGAUCUUGAGUCCGGAAGAGGUGAGUGGAACUCCUAGUGUAGAGGUGGAAUUCGUAGAUAUUAGGAAGAACACCAGUGGCGAAGGCGGCUCACUGGUCCGGUACUGACGCUGAGGUGCGAAAGCGUGGGGAGCAAGCAGG
rnacentral:rRNA from 1 species